rnacentral:tRNA from 1 species
UGAGGAUAUAGUUCAGUGGUAGAACACUUGCCGAGAAUGUAUGAGGUCUUGGGUUCGAUAUUCAGGACUUCAA